AUUGAACGCUGGCGGCAUGCCUUACACAUGCAAGUCGAACGGUAACAGGUCUUUCGGGAUGCUGACGAGUGGCGAACGGGUGAGUAAUACAUCGGAACGUGCCUAGUAGUGGGGGAUAACUACUCGAAAGAGUGGCUAAUACCGCAUGAGAUCUAUGGAUGAAAGCAGGGGACCUUCGGGCCUUGUGCUACUAGAGCGGCCGAUGGCAGAUUAGGUAGUUGGUGGGAUAAAAGCUUACCAAGCCUACGAUCUGUAGCUGGUCUGAGAGGACGAUCAGCCACACUGGGACUGAGACACGGCCCAGACUCCUACGGGAGGCAGCAGUGGGGAAUUUUGGACAAUGGGCGCAAGCCUGAUCCAGCAAUGCCGCGUGCAGGAUGAAGGCCUUCGGGUUGUAAACUGCUUUUGUACGGAACGAAAAGUCUUGGGUUAAUACCCUGGGAUCAUGACGGUACCGUAAGAAUAAGCACCGGCUAACUACGUGCCAGCAGCCGCGGUAAUACGUAGGGUGCAAGCGUUAAUCGGAAUUACUGGGCGUAAAGCGUGCGCAGGCGGUUUUGUAAGACAGUGGUGAAAUCCCCGGGCUCAACCUGGGAACUGCCAUUGUGACUGCAAGGCUGGAGUGCGGCAGAGGGGGAUGGAAUUCCGCGUGUAGCAGUGAAAUGCGUAGAUAUGCGGAGGAACACCGAUGGCGAAGGCAAUCCCCUGGGCCUGCACUGACGCUCAUGCACGAAAGCGUGGGGAGCAAACAGG
rnacentral:rRNA from 2 species